rnacentral:rRNA from 1 species
GUUGGUGGUUAUAGUGGUUGUGAAACGCCUGAUCCCUUCCCGAACUCAGAAGCUAAGGCAACUACGCCGAUGAUAGUGCGUGAGCGUGAAAGUAGGUCACUGCCAACA